AAAAUACAUCUAAGUACUUAUAUUUUUCAUUUAUUUAUAUUUUAUUUUAAAAAUUAAUAACAUCAAAUAUAACUUGAUUUAGUAACUAAACUUUAGUAUAUAAACUUGGAGUUCUAGAAUCAAAACUUAUACAAAGAUGUGAAGCAAAACUAUAGACCCAUUAGACCAAUAUUACCGUUGUAAACCGCCUAAUCAGUCAUCACAAUUCACAAACGGCCUCUAUCACUCGUCAAAAAAAAAGAAGAAAAAUCUCCUUCUCUAUCCUCUCGCACAGAAUUUUGUGCCCUAGUAGUUUAGAUUUGCCUCUAAUCUGUUAAUUUCAUCUCGAUUACUCAAUUUUAAUCCUUCAAUUGACGUUUUGGAGAUUGAUUGUUAUAUUUAUUUUCUCGCAUGAUUUGUGAUCGGAAAUUCGAGCAUUGUCUUUAAGGAGGUAUUUUGACGGUCCUGUCUCCUGUCACAAAGACGAUCAGUAUAUUCCUACAACUCGUAAAUGCAUAUGGGAACCCUUGAAAAAAUUAAUGUACCUUUCUGUUUGGAUUUUGACGGAAAGAAGGAUGGCUGUGUGUGUGUGUGUUGGGGGGGGGGGUAGUAAAGAAUUCUCCAACCGCAAAUUCUGAAGUCGACUAAUCCAGUAUUUGUGUAUGAGAAUGAUGGGAGUUUCUGAAUUUUGCUUUUACUGAUAUAAAGGCUGGUCUUAUGUUUGUAUCAGAGGGCUGAUUUCCUUGCUUCAAGUGCACCUGAUUGUCUUAAAUUAAGGUGGAAUGGUUGCUAGAUGAUGAGCCUGUGUUCUAUAAAUUUCUUGGUUUUUAGGAUAUAAUAAAUUAAACUAGUUGCUAUUGUCAAGUGUGCUAGUAUUGCACCAUUCGAAUCAUAUGAUGGCAUGAAAGAGAUAAAGCAACAUAGGAAACAUUUAAAGUAGGACAGCUGUAACUUACAAAAAAAACUCUACCAAUAUAGAUGAACAUGGUAAAAUCCCCCUAAGGGAAUUGAUAGGGGUAUUGUGUAAGAGGCCUACGAAACUCUAACUAGGUUGUAGGUACAUCAUUGUAGUGAAGAUGUUUCGUUUUUCUUCACUUUUGUUUUUUUCUCAUUACCUUCUAUAAAACUCCCUCUAAUUUUAUCUCCAUCCUUUUAUUUUGGUUUUCUCUUUACAUAUCCCUUGAUUUCUUGUUCCUUGUGUUUUCUCCUGUCUUACUUCCCUCACUUUUGCCUUUUCAUUUUUCCUCGUUGUAUUAAACUUAUUCCUUCACUUUUUUGUUCAUUUAUCAUGGAAACGAUCUCUUAUGACAAUUCAUGUCAGCCGAUCCCAAUUCUUCAAACUAAUUUUUUCACUAUUUUGUUCAUAUGUCCCGGAUAUGAUGCAUGUUAGCUGAUCCUAAAUCAUUCAUGUUCACUCAUUCACUUUUCAAACUUUGAAUUCAGCUGUAUAUGCCUUUGCUCCUUUGAGCUUGAAUUUAAAUAAUUAUUAUGUUUAGUUAUUUCUUCUAGCAAGCUUAAUUACAAUAGGAGUUCAAUAUAGAGUUUAGCUUGUAUCCUUGGCUUUGCAAUAUCUGUCAGUAAUGAGCUUUUACAUGAACUUAGUUUGGUUAUACUAUUGGCUAGUGUUAUUUGAGGAGUUAUUUGUUUUUGUUUUUGUCCUGUACUCCUGUCUAUGAAAUACGGGCUUUAGUUGCCUCAACUCAAAUUCUUGAAGGAGAAUGAAUGAAAUGGAAAAAGAAGCGCACAUGUAGGAUUCUUUCAAUAUAAUGCUUUGAAGUUUACAUGUUUGGGAUUCAAUUUCUUUCAACUCUCUUGUUAUGUAAUAUUUGUGCAGGAUUCUUUUACGCGUUGCUUUAAAUCAAAUCCUCCAGGGCCCUGGAACUGGAAUAUCUAUCUAUUUCCUCUGUGGUGUUGUGGAGUUCUUGUUAGAUACUUGAUCAUUUUCCCAAUAAGGAUUGCUGCAAACUACUAUCUUGGAAAGUCUUGGAUGUAUCUGGUUCAACCGUACAGAAGUAAAGGAUCGUGUUGAUGCAUCUAGAAAAUUCAGAGAACAUGCGCAUGGGGAUGACAAUAACCCUCUUUUAAUAUUUUCUGCAGGAACUUGUGUUAAUAAUGAGUAUAUCGUCAUGUUUAAGAAGGUAAAUGAACUUCCAUUUGGUUUCCAGAUAACUGCUGUGUAAUUUUGAAUGAAAUUAUGUGAGUCUUCUUUGAAAUACUUAACUAUGAUUUCCUCAAAACUCUUCUCUUGUUUAGAGUGCAUUUGAGAUUGAUGCCUCUGUUUGUCCUGUGGCAAUCAAGUACAACAAGAUUUUUGUUGAUGCCUUCUGGAACAGUAGGAAAAGUUGAAUGCUCGAUCUUUCUUCUAGAGAAUUGCUGGAACAGUUGUGAGAUCUGUAGAGGAAGACCAAAGGGAACAAGGGGAUGAAGCUGGUGUCAUUUUUUCUCUACAUCCUCAACUUUUAUGUUGCUUAAUCUUCUCCCCGCCUCUCCAGAUAUCGAUGAUGAAGUGGUUCGUUAUUUUCAGUCAAGCAUCAAAGUCGCAGCGUCAUGGAGCUUUGGUGUCUUGAAUCAAAUGAAGAUGCAAGCUGACUUAAAAGUUAAAUGACUUGAAAGUUAAAAACAUUAAGAACCUGGAAGCUGAGGUACAGGCUUUAGAGGAGCUGUCAAAGCAGCUGUUUUUGGAGAUUUAUGAAGGAAGCUGCUGCUUUUUCUCGAACCUGGAAAGGCCAUAUGCAGAAUCUUUUGGGCUACUCAUGUUAAUAGAUUGUGUAUACAAAAUGAUUAAGUCGUUGCAGAGCGUUGUCUUUAAGGAGAUAUUUUGCUGCCAGAUUAGUCUAUAUCGGGACUUGCUUACCUUUCCAGCUUAAUAAUUUUUUAUUAUUAUUGAGGGUGUCUGAGAUGACAUAUUGACAUAAAAUUAGCUGGCUGCAGCCUGAUGAUCUUUCUUUUUGCCCCCAUCUCUUCACAAGCUGGUUCAGUCGAUCCUGUCACAAAGACGAUCAGUAUAUUCCUACAAUACUUCGACAUAGGAUUAGAUGCUACUUUACUAUCCGAGGUUAUAAUGCAUUCUUCAAAUAUUGCUUCUAGUAUAUAAUGACUUUCCUAUUGCUUUUGGUUAUUUUUAAUAGGCAAUCAUUUACCAUGCAUCUGCUUCAGCUAAUGACGUCUUGAGCUGUUGUUUGUGAUGUUUGGUAUCUCGAGCCCCAGACAAUAAAACCUGACGAAACUUCAAUUUAAUUUGCCGAGAGGGUUAGGCUCAUGAUCUCUCAUAGAGCUGGCCUGAAAAUGGUUCCUUGGGAUGGCUACCUGAAGCAUUCACGGGCUACAAUACUUUAAUAUAGGAAGAUAUGCUACUUUACUAUCCCAGGUGAUAUAAUGCAUUCUUCAAACAUUGCUUCUAGUAUAUAAUGACUUUCCUAUUGCUUUUGGUUAUUUUUAUGGCCUGAACUUCAGAUAUAUUAUUGCUCACAUUUGUUCUCUCCUAGCAUGUAAUGAUGGGUGUUCUUUAGAAUAGAAUAGCAUCUCUGUUUCUUUAUCAAACUCUAUUGAAAAGAUAACAUUAUGUUAAGUCUAUUUAUGAGUCAAACUAUUGCCUUAGAAAAACAUCUUAAAACAUGUUCUGGCCUAUUGGUCUGCAAAGGAUAUCAGUACCCUAACCCUACUGUGACACUUAUUGUACGCCAUGAUAAUAUAGCAAAAUCCAACUUGCUUUGGAGUGGUGGUGCUCCUAUCAUUCAAGCUUCAUCGAGUCCCUUCUUAUCUUCUUCUCUAAUUCUGUAACGCAUACACUGAUUCUAAGAGGACCACAAAAGGAGGAGAGCGACUUCACUAACAAAUGCUUCUGGAUACGGGCUUCUAUGAUUAGGCGGAGCUUUUUUUUAGUUCUCCUGUUUCUAGAAAUUGAUAUCGGGGGCUGUUAGGUUGAAGAAACAGAAACAAGGCGUGAGGAAGAGAAUUUGAGCUGGUAACGAUUUAACGAAGGGUUUUGAGGUGUUCACGGAGUCCAAUGUUACAGUCGGAGAUAACUUUGAUUUUAAGUAGAUAUUAUGAAGGAAAAGAUUGAUUGGAUGAUGUUAAAGGCUUGGAUUACAGUUUCAGUGAGGAAAAGGAUGGACUUGGAGUAGGUUUACGAGGAUUAAUUAAACAGGUCAUUUGUGGAACUUAAGAAUUCAUGUUUAUUUUUCUGUAUUAAAAAGAGUGGUAAUAGGUGUGUUACACAGGUUUUGGAUAGUAUAUUCUUUGGUGAAUCAUGGAAAUCCUGUAGGUUCUUUUUGUUGGAAAGACUCAGUGAGUCUUUACAAUUUACUUAUUGCUAUUAAUGAAAUUGAGUUAUUUUCUCGA